rnacentral:rRNA from 1 species
UACGUAGGGGGCAAGCGUUGUCCGGAUUUAUUGGGCGUAAAGAGCGUGUAGGCGGCCAGGUAGGUCCGUUGUGAAAACUCGAGGCUCAACCUCGAGACGUCGGCGGAAACCCUCUGGCUAGAGUCCGGAAGAGGAGAGUGGAAUUCCUGGUGUAGCGGUGAAAUGCGCAGAUAUCAGGAGGAACACCGGUGGCGAAGGCGGGUCUCUGGGCCGAUACUGACGCUGAGGAGCGAAAGCGUGGGGAGCAAACAGG